CGGUAAUUUACGCCCUUAAUUACGUGAUUAAUAGGCGAUUAAUGCAAUAAUAAAUAGUGUUUACGACGCUAAUUAACUUAGUUAGACCCUUGGAGUGCCCAGGAACGUUUGUUCAGCUAUACAGUGCGCGUGUGGUGAUUUACUGAAAAUCUGCUGAAUAUUACGCGACAACGAACUAAUACCGUGCAAAAUACAGACGACACCGACAAAUAUGGAUGUUACACGAAUAUUUUAUGCUCAUGGAGUUGGGUCGCGAAAUCGGGUCUCGUAGAAAUUACGGGCCGCUUACACAUGAGAUGGGCUUGUGGGCCCUACGCCCAAGCCCAAAACCCACAAGCCUAAACCUACAUAUACAAGAUCUAUACAAAAUCUAUGAAAAAUCUAUCCAAGAGAUUUUAGCUCCAUAUACAAAACAAUUGACCUGAAUACAUUUUAUAUACUCAAAAGGCAAUAAAAAUUUCCCACUCUAUUUAUACCCAAUCUUGAUUAUGCAGAUGUACACACACAAACCACAAAUAUCUCUCAAAGAAUUCUCUCUCUCUCUCGGUUAUGGAACCAGAAAACAAACAUAACAUAGAGAAUUUAUCUUCUCUAACCCACAACAUCAUAACUUUGCCUCCUACCUCUCCUCACUCUCGUUUCCUCCUCCCUGUAACACAUAACCGAGCACACCCCCCUCUCCUGCUCGACUGGAAAGCCGGAACCGGCGCUGUUUCCGACGAAACCGGUGACCACCGUCGAGACCCCUCCCCCCCGUGUUACAGAUUCAACGACCACCACCACCACGGUUCGGUGGUGGUGCGGCGACGAAGAGAGAGAGACUGAGGGGCGAGAGAGAAAGAGGGAACCGGCGGUCGGAGGCUCGGACCGCCGGUCGGUUCGUUUAUCCGUUGGUCAACAGGCUCCGGUCGGUUCAGGUCUCGGGUUCGGCGUCUCGGGUUCGGGUUACAGCCGUGUUUCGGGUUAGGGGUGGUCGCCGGCAAGGCACGGCGGUGACGAUGGAUUUACCGACGAUGAUGGUGGCGGUUAACAGCUGUAGAUCUUGGUUCGAUUUCAGAAACACCGGUAAGACCCCUAUGACUCCCUCUCUUUUGUUUCAGAUCUGUGAAGAUCUCGGUUUCUCCGGUCAGUUUUGAUGGUGUUUCAGGUGGUGGUGAAGUACUCGUUUGUCUGAGUUUGCAAGGAAACAUGUGGUUUGGGUUGGUGUUGCGAGUCAGCUUGGUUACGGGUUCGGCUCGGGUUAGAUGGUAGUUCGGGUCAACACCCGGUCAAACUCGAUCAACGCCGGUCAACAGAAGUCAAGCAUCAGUUUUGGUCAACUUCAGUCAACAGAUCGGUCCGGGUCACGUCAGACGGUUCGGGUCAAGCGGCUCGGUCAGCUUCAGUUUUGACUCGGUCAACUCGGGUCAAACCCGGUUGACUCAGUCAACUCAGCGAGUCAACCCGGGUCAACUUAGUCCGCGUUUCGACAUGAAGACUUGGGAUAUUGUAGAAUGCACGCUAGCAAGCCACGUCUUGGGAACGACAUCACGAAGUCGUUGCAUUCUAAGAUAAGGCGCGGUUGGAAUAGGAUGACCAUGAAGAGUCGAGUACUUAGUGGCGUUCAUUUUCUAAAAGACUUAAAUUAUUUGCUUCCGCUGUGCAAUGAAGAUACCAGUCCAGUCACGCCAAUGCUCUGAUAAUUUCGGGGUGUGACACAAGUGUUCUUAGACAACGUUUAUAAGUUGCAUGGGUGCCCGAAUUCCAUUGUUUCUGAUAGAGACCAUGUUUUCUUAGUGCAUUUUGGAUGGAGUUCAUGUCUUUACAAGGCGUGGGGUUGAAUCUUUCUACUGCAUACGACCCCCAAACCGAUGGCCAAACGGAGGUGGUUAACCGGUGUUUGGAAGGGUACCUUCGAUGCAUGGUAACGGAGAGGCAACACACAUGGGUUAAGUGGGUCUCAUUGGCGGAAUGGUGGUAUAACACCACUUUUCACUUGUCGCUGGGAAAAACGCCAUUUGAAGCGUUGUAUGGUUAUUCACCACCUUUGCAUAUUCCAUACAUUCCUCGAGACGCCACUGUGGGUGAGGUAGAUGAGUUUUUGCAAGACAGGGAAACCACCCUCACACUCUUGAAGCAAUCAUUACAAAAGGCUUAGAACCGCAUGAGACAACAAGCUAACAAGCAUCGUUCCGAGAGGUCAUUUGAACCGGGUACGUGGGUCUAUCUCAAGCUUCGACCUUACAUGCAAAACACAAUAAGAGUCGACAAGCAUUCAAACUAACACCAAAGUAUUUCCGUCUGUUUUUGGUGGUGGAAAAGAUUGGGCAAGUCGCCUAUCGAUUAGACUUGCCAGACGAGUCCCAAUCCAUCUGGUUUUUCAUGUGUCCUUAAAACAAGCAGGGGGUCCUCCCGAGAAGAUUAUUCCAGUACCGGUCGACUCCAAGUUCAUUCUCCAACCAAUGAAGGUGUCAGAAAAGAAAAUGGCUAAAAGGGGAAGUCGGGCCGCGGUUAAGGUUGUGUUGAUGAUGAUUUGGGAAAUCGAUUUACAUGAAGCCAUGGAUGAAGAUGAUGUCUGUACCCAAGCAGUUGCUGCUUCUGAUGUGAAGGUGACGUAGCAUCUGACGUGGCAGGUGACGUGGCAAGUGAUGUGGCAUCCGACAUGGCAAGUGACAUGGCAUCCGACGUGGCAGGUGACGUGGCAUGAAUAUUUGUGUAGGUAAAAGUAAUGUUAUAUGUAGGUAAAAGUAAUAUUAUGUGUAGGUAAAUGUUAAAGAUGUGUUGGUAUUGAUCUUAAUAUGUGUUGAAACAAAUGUAAACUAAAAGGCACUAAAAUCAUAGAUAAUGUCACAAACAUCAACAUUGAUUAAUA
rnacentral:lncRNA from 1 species